rnacentral:tRNA from 1 species
UCCGAAUUGGUGUAGUGGCUAACAUUUGACGCUCUCAUUCCGAUGAUCCGUCAAGCCCGGGGUUCGAUUCCCCGAUUCGGAG